CAGUGAACCAUCGAGUCUUUGAACGCAAGUUGCGCCCGAGCUAUCUGGCAAGGGCAUGCCUGCUUGGGCGUCACG
rnacentral:rRNA from 1 species